rnacentral:rRNA from 1 species
GACGAGGGAUCCUAGCGUUGCUCGGAAUCAUUGGGCGUAAAGCGGGUGUAGGUGGCUUUGUAAGUCAGGGGUGAAAUCCGGCAGCUCAACUGUCGAAGUGCCUUUGAUACUGAUUUGCUCGAGGGAUAUAGGGGUCUGUGGAACUUCUGGUGGAGCGGUGAAAUGCGUUGAUAUCAGAAGGAACGCCGGUGGCGAAAGCGACGGACUGGAUAUCUUCUGACGCUGAGGCGCGAAAGCUAGGGGAGCAAACGGG